GACAGAGGGUGCAAACGUUGCUCGGAAUUACUGGGCGUAAAGCGCGUGUAGGCGGGCCAUCAAGUCGGACGUGAAAUCCCUGAGCUCAACUCAGGAACUGCAUCCGAAACUGGCGGCCUGGAGUGGUGGAGAGGGAAGCAGAAUUCCUGGUGUAGAGGUGAAAUUCGUAGAUAUCAGGAGGAACACCGGUGGCGAAGGCGGCGACCUGGGUUGACAUUGACGCUGAGGCGCGAAAGCGUGGGGAGCAAACAGG
rnacentral:rRNA from 1 species